rnacentral:rRNA from 1 species
GACGAACGCUGGCGGCGUGCUUAACACAUGCAAGUCGAACGGAAAGGCCCUGCUUUUGUGGGGUGCUCGAGUGGCGAACGGGUGAGUAACACGUGAGUAACCUUCCCUUGACUUUGGGAUAACUUCAGGAAACUGGUGCUAAUUCCGGAUAGUAGCUUCUGCUGCAUGGUGGGUGUUGGAUUGUUUCGGCGGUUGGGGAUGGACUCGCGGCUUAUCAGCUUGUUGGUGGGGUAGUGGCUUACCAAGGCUUUGACGGGUAGCCGGCCUGAGAGGGUGACCGGCAACAUUGGGACUGAGAUACGGCCCAGACUCCUACGGGAGGCAGCAGUGGGGAAUAUUGCACAAUGGGCGGAAGCCUGAUGCAGAAACGCCGCGUGCGGGAUGACGGCCUUCGGGUUGUAAACCGCUUUCGCCUGUGACGAAGCGUGAGUGACGGUAAUGGGUAAAGAAGCACCGGCUAACUACGUG